AAUCAACGCUGGCGGCGUGCCUAACACAUGCAAGUCGCACGAGAAAGGGUCUUCGGAUCUGAGUAAAGUGACGCACGGGUGAGGAACACGUGAAUUAUCUACCUUCGAGUGGGGAAUAACUUCGGGAAACCGAGGCUAAUACCGCAUAAUAUCUACGGAUCAAAGCAGUAAUGCGCUUGAAGAGGAGUUCGCGGCAGAUUAGUUAGUUGGCGGGGUAAUGGCCCACCAAGACGAUGAUCUGUAUCCGGCCUGAGAGGGCGCACGGACACACUGGAACUGAAACACGGUCCAGACUCCUACGGGAGGCAGCAGUGGGGAAUUUUGCGCAAUGGGGGAAACCCUGACGCAGCAACGCCGCGUGGAGGAUGAAGUCUCUUGGGACGUAAACUCCUUUCGAUAGGGAAGAUUAUGACGGUACCUAUAGAAGAAGCCCCGGCUAACUUCGUGCCAGCAGCCGCCGUAA
rnacentral:rRNA from 1 species